GUUGAACUUGGGACCGGGAGAGGCAAGAGGUACUUCUGGGGUAGGGGUAAAAUCCUGUAAUCCUAGAAGGACCACCGGUGGCGAAGGCGUCUUGCUAGAACGGAUCCGACGGUGAGGGACGAAGCCCUGGGUCGCAAACGGGAUUAGAUACCCCGGUAGUCCAGGGUGUAAACGCUGCAGACUUGGUGUUGGGAACCCUUCGGGGGUGCUCAGUGCCGGAGAGAAGUUGUUAAGUCUGCUACUUGGGGAGUACGUCCGCAAGGAUGAAACUUAAAGGAAUUGGCGGGGGAGCACCGCAACGGGGAAGGAGCGUGCGGUUUAAUUGGAUUCAACGCCGAAAAACUCACCAGCAGCGACUGUUACAUGAAAGUCAGGUUGAUGACCUUACUAGAUUUUCAGAGAGGAGGUGCAUGG
rnacentral:rRNA from 1 species